rnacentral:rRNA from 1 species
GCUUGACUGUAGCUUGUAAUUGGGUUCGGGCUUUUUUUGCGCAGCCUAGGUGGGAGGCAACGAUGAUUUUUUUCCGGAAAAAUUUGAGCCGAUUACGUGAGAGACCACUCUGAAAAGGCUAGAAUCCUAAUAAUGAUCCUUGAAUCAGGACAUUCGACAGUUGCAGGUGGGCAGUUUUACUGGGGCGGUAUUCUCCUAAAAAGUAACGGAGGGGGUGCAAAGGUUCCCUCAAGCCUGGACGGAAAUCAGCUUAAGAGUGUAAAGGCAAAAGGGAGCUUGACUGCAAGACCUACAAGUCGAGCAGGGGCGAAAGCCGGCCUUAGUGAUCCGACGGUACCACGUGGAAGGGCCGUCGCUCAACGGAUAAAAGUUA